rnacentral:misc_RNA from 1 species
UCCGAGUUGUCCCCGGCAGUCCUCUUAGAGUCCCCGGCAUUACCCGCUGGCAACUAAGAGCAGGGGUUGCGCUCGUUGCGGCACUUAAGCCAGCAUCUCACGACACGAGCUGACGACAGCCAUGCAGCACCUGUGCAAGUGCCCCGAAGGGAGACCGUGUUUCCACGGCUGUCACUUGCAUGUCAAGCCUAGGUAAGGUUCUUCGCGUUGCUUCGAAUUAAACCACAUGCUCCACCGCUUGUGCGGGCCCCCGUCAAUUCCUUUGAGUUUCAGCCUUGCGGCCGUACUCCCCAGGCGGGGUGCUUAUCGCGUUAGCUGCGGCACCGACGGGGUCGCUCCCCCCGGCACCUAGCACCCAUCGUUUACAGCGUGGACUAC